AGACAUAUAUUGAUUUGUAGGAGCAAAACUUGGUGCUUCUCUCUCAUAUUGUCCUUGUCCUUGAGCAAGUAUCCCA
rnacentral:sRNA from 1 species